rnacentral:rRNA from 1 species
ACGAACUCUGGCGGCGUGCUUAACACCUGCAAGUCGAACGGAAAGGCCCUGCUUUUGUGGGGUGCUCGAGUGGCGAACGGGUGAGUAACACGUGAGUAACCUGCCCUUGACUUUGGGAUAACUUCAGGAAACUGGGGCUAAUACCGGAUAGGAGCUCCUGCUGCAUGGUGGGGGUUGGAAAGUUUCGGCGGUUGGGGAUGGACUCGCGGCUUAUCAGCUUGUUGGUGGGGUAGUGGCUUACCAAGGCUUUGACGGGUAGCCGGCCUGAGAGGGUGACCGGCCACAUUGGGACUGAGAUACGGCCCAGACUCCUACGGGAGGCAGCAGUGGGGAAUAUUGCACAAUGGGCGGAAGCCUGAUGCAGCAACGCCGCGUGCGGGAUGACGGCCUUCGGGUUGUAAACCGCUUUCGCCUGUGACGAAGCGUGAGUGACGGUAAUGGGUAAAGAAGCACCGGCUAACUACGUG